rnacentral:ncRNA from 1 species
ACGAGUCCAAUGAAGGGAUGAGUACAGCUAUAGAUGUAUAGGUAGCAUGAUGCUAUGCAGAGAGCCGGGGGAGCUGGGAACCGGUAUAGAUCUUAGUUGGAAGAUGGUCCUGGGAGGAAUUUGCUUUCGAGUGUUUACAUAAGGGAGUAACGUAGCUGGCGUUAACAGACGAAGUUAUUGACUUCAUGAGCCUUUUUAUUGUGAAAUAAGAAGGGAAAUUUGGGUGGUACCACGUGAGAUGCUCUCGUCCCGAUC